UAGGGGUUAGUCUAGCCUAAGAUGCUUGAUUUCGACUCAUAAGACGGUGGUUAAACCCCACCACCCCUAU
rnacentral:tRNA from 1 species